rnacentral:tRNA from 1 species
GUUUUUAUAGUUUAAAUCAAAACAUUACACUGAAAAUGUAAAAAUAUUUUAUUUAAAAACA